rnacentral:lncRNA from 1 species
UGGAUUGGGCCAAGGAUGUGAUGCACUGCUGAUGCGUUGCUACCACUGGUGCAACUAAUUUGGCUUAAUGAGGCAGUGUGACUUGGGCUGCUGGACUGAAUUGGAACGCUGAACUGAUUCCAACUAAGUGGAACGACGUCGUCUUGAUGCGUUUUGGCAGCAGUUGCCUUAGGGGUCUCCUCAUUUGAUUUUCAUUUGCAAAGCUGACCGAGGAAUUCAUUUGGAGAAAGUGUCCUCGAGUUAGGGCUCCUACGCAAAAGAAAGGGGUUUGUGCAAGUAAGCUGACCGAAGAAGAUGAGGAGCUGACCGGAGUUCAAGUUGAUCGGAGGGCUUGAAGAAGAGAUCGAAGAGGCAGGGAUUGGUGACCAUCCGAUUCAGAGAGCUAAACGUCAAGCUGCGAAGGUUUCUCAUUUUACAGAUUUUUUUCUUCUCGUUGUUUUUCAUUUUUUUUCUAACCCUAUAAAAGGGGUUUUUGUAAAGGAUACGAUACACUGGGAUAUUGAUUGGGGUCACUUUGAUUUUUCUGAUUCUUACGUUUUUGAGAGCGAGAGUCUAGGGUUUUAUCGCUUCCGGUAGAGUCCAGUUCUCGCGUUCUUGCUUGUUUCUUUUCGGUAAAUUCUUGUAAUCUUGUUCUUGUUAAUAAAUUUCUGUAAUGUUCCUCUGUA